rnacentral:rRNA from 1 species
AACGUAGGAUCCGAGCGUUAUCCGAAUUUACUGGGCGUAAAGCGUGUGUAGGCGGUCCGUUAAGUUGGAUGUGAAAUCUCCUGGCUCAACUAGGAGAGGUCGUUCAAUACUGGCGGACUAGAGGAUGGUAGAGGGAGGUGGAAUUCCCGGUGUAGUGGUGAAAUGCGUAGAUAUCGGGAGGAACACCAGUGGCGAAGGCGGCCUCCUGGCCCAUUCCUGACGCUCAGACACGAAAGCUAGGGGAGCAAACGGG